CGGGACGGGUGAGUAACGCGUGGGUAACCUGCCUCACACAGGGGAUAACAGUUAGAAAUGACUGCUAAUACCGCAUAACCCGAUAGGAUCGCAUGAUCCAGACGGAAAAGAUUUAUCGGUGUGAGAUGGACCCGCGUCUGAUUAGCUAGUUGGUGAGGUAACGGCCCACCAAGGCGACGAUCAGUAGCCGGCCUGAGAGGGUGAACGGCCACAUUGGGACUGAGAUACGGCCCAA
rnacentral:rRNA from 1 species